rfam:Oryza barthii chromosome 7, whole genome shotgun sequence.
AUACCUUUCUCGGCCUUUUGGCUAAGAUCAAGUGUAGUAUCUGUUCUUAUCAGUUUAAUAUCUGAUAUGUGGGCCAUGUGUCCCACUUUGAUAUUAAAUUUAUUUUUUAUGGGGGAGGGCUCACAAUAGUGGCUUGCCACUAGGGCCCUCAAUCGUCGUUUAGGCGUUGCACUACAGCCUAAGCCUGGCGCACCCCAA